UCAAUCGCGGGCGUUGCUUGGACCUUUACUGUACUUGCCAUGGGAUUUGCCUGCAAAGAAAUCGAGCUCGAACUCAGGAAUGCUCGUUUGAGAACAAUGGAGGCAUUUUUAAUCAUACUUACAGUAACACAACUUGUCUACAUAGCAGCAAUUCAUGGCGGUGCAUAAAUGAUUGAUGCGUCUUCUUCUUUCAUCACUAAGAAAAAUGAUUCUUG